rnacentral:tRNA from 1 species
GGGCGAUUAGCUCAGGGGUAGAGCGCUUCGUUCACACCGAAGAGGUCACUGGUUCGAUCCCAGUAUCGCCCA